UUGUGCAUACCGACGGUUUAUUUCCUCCUAUGGCUGAGUCGUAUUUCCUCCUAUGGCUGAGUCGUACAGGCACCAUUGUGUUUCACCCACUGAAGGAUGCCUGCGUUGUUUCCCUCUUUGAUUACUACAGCUAAAUCCUAGACCUCUUACAAGUAGGAAAUACUCAAACUGCAGAAAACUCCUCACGGCCCUCAACUUUCACUCGCUGUGUACAGAAGCACCAGCCCGGGAUCUCCGUGGUCCUGGGUGCACAGAAGAAAGCUCCCAGAGAUCUGGCAGAAAGAAUUUUACAAAUGCUCUCCGGCCCUCACCCCCUAGAGGCUGAGAACUCCCCUCCUGCACCUCACAAGCAAUCAAGCCCAGGACCAGUCCCUGACUCCGUAUUCAGCAAUCCUGGAAGCUCCCCAAAUCGUCCACUUUCAUUAGCAUCAAGACCCCAGAAAGAGGCACCUUGGGAAAAUCUGCAAGCCUUGGUUGGCCGGGAAAAUCUGCUCUGGGUAAAUUCAUGAUCUCUAAACGCA